GGCGGCCGUAGCGCGGUGGUCCCACCUGACCCCAUGCCGAACUCAGAAGUGAAACGCCGUAGCGCCGAUGGUAGUGUGGGGUCUCCCCAUGCGAGAGUAGGAAACUGCCAGGC
rnacentral:rRNA from 1 species